CGGGGUGAGUAAUGUAUGGGGAUCUGCCUGAUGGCGGGGGAGUAAUACUGGAAACGGUAGCUAAUACCGCAUAAUGUCUGCGGACCAAAGCGGGGGACCUCCGGGCCUCGCGCCAUCAGAUGAACCCAUAUGGGAUUAGCUAGUAGGUAAGGUAACGGCUUACCUAGGCGACGAUCCCUAGCUGGUCUGAGAGGAUGAUCAGCCACACUGGGACUGAGACACGGCCCAG
rnacentral:rRNA from 1 species